ensembl:snoRNA
UUCCAUGAUUCCAUGGGAUGUGUCUUGUGGCAUCCUCCCUUCCUAGUCAUGGUAGAGUAUAUGUACUUGCUUUUAACAUGUUGUUUCCAACAAGUUGGUUUCACCUCUUUAAAAGUAAGGAAC